rnacentral:rRNA from 1 species
AUGAACGCUGGCGGCGUGCCUAAUACAUGCCAGUCGAGCGAACAGAUGAGGAGCUUGCUCCUCUGACGUUAGCGGCGGACGGGUGAGUAACACGUGGAUAACCUACCUAUAAGACUGGGAUAACUUCGGGAAACCGGAGCUAAUACCGGAUAAUAUAUUGAACCGCAUGGUUCAAUAGUGAAAGACGGUUUUGCUGUCACUUAUAGAUGGAUCCGCGCCGCAUUAGCUAGUUGGUAAGGUAACGGCUUACCAAGGCAACGAUGCGUAGCCGACCUGAGAGGGUGAUCGGCCACACUGGAACUGAGACACGGUCCAGACCCCUACGGGAGGCAGCAGUAGGGAAUCUUCCGCAAUGGGCGAAAGCCUGACGGAGCAACGCCGCGUGAGUGAUGAAGGUCUUCGGAUCGUAAAACUCUGUUAUUAGGGAAGAACAAAUGUGUAAGUAACUAUGCACGUCUUGACGGUACCUAAUCAGAAAGCCACGGCUAACUACGUG